AGAGUUUGAUCAUGGCUCAGAACGAACGCUGGCGGCGUGGAUAAGACAUGCAAGUCGAACGGGAUUACUUUUGUAGCAAUACAGAAGUAAUUCAGUGGCGAACGGGUGCGUAACACGUGGGCAAUCUGCCGAGAAGUGGGGGAUAGCUCGCCGAAAGGCGAAUUAAUACCGCAUGUGGUGAGGGACGACAUCUUCCUGAAUCCAAAGCCGGGGCAACCUGGCGCUUUUUGAGGAGCCCGCGGCCUAUCAGCUAGUUGGUGAGGUAACGGCUCACCAAGGCUUUGACGGGUAGCUGGUCUGAGAGGACGACCAGUCACACUGGAACUGAGACACGGUCCAGACACCUACGGGUGGCAGCAGUCGAGAAUUUUUCUCAAUGGGGGCAACCCUGAAGGAGCGACGCCGCGUGGAGGGUGAAGGCUUUCGGGUUGUAAACUCCUGUCAUUUGAGAACAAGGUGCACGUGUUAACUGUAUGUGCAUUGAUAGUAUCAGAAGAGGAAGGGACGGCUAACUCUGUGCCAGCAGCCGCGGUAAUACAGAGGUCCCAAGCGUUGUUCGGAUUCAUUGGGCGUAAAGGGUGCGUAGGUGGCGCCGUAAGUCGGGUGUGAAAUUUCGGAGCUUAACUCCGAAACUGCAUUCGAUACUGCGGUGCUUGAGGACUGGAGAGGAGACUGGAAUUCAUGGUGUAGCAGUGAAAUGCGUAGAGAUCAUGAGGAAGACCAGUGGCGAAGGCGGGUCUCUGGACAGUUCCUGACACUGAGGCACGAAGGCCAGGGGAGCAAACGGGAUUAGAUACCCUAGUAGUCC
rnacentral:rRNA from 1 species